UUAAUUUCGUGGAGAUUCCGAGGUUACUAAUAUUGCUUUUUUUAGACACAUGCACAUUAUAUUUUGACAACCACGUCAAAUCUUAGGGUCUAGGUGACGUAAUGCAGCUAUUAUUGAUUGAAAACGAGCGAACUAUGUUUUCUCCUUGCCUUGUUACGCGGGAGUGAUGUGCCCGCGCGGCGACGCGGCUGCGUCGGCUGCUUCGCUCCGUCGCAACUACGUCGUCUGCCGGGUUUCUUCCCGAUGCUCCCACUUCAUCCCGUUCUCGAAGCAAGGUUCGCGAAGACGCGAAUGGUUACGUUGCACCGGGCAAGAAAACGGCCACCGAGGACCUCCUCCACAUUCCUCGUUUCCGUGCGGACACCUUCGAGGCGUUCGCCAGCGGUGACCGUAGUUGUGGACGCCACCAGUCUGCUGUACCGACGCUCCUGCUUACCGUCGCCGACGGGACCGAGCGAGGAACCCGCGAAAAAGUCCUGGUCCUAGUCUCAGCAGCUAGACUGCUGCAUCCUGCAAGGCAUAAAGGAUCCUAAGGGACUGCGCUGUCGAGAUGAAUCUCCCUGGUCGUGGAGGAGCCAGUACCGUUGGAUACUUUCGACUCUGCCGUCCCCUACUGCAGCAGCGAGGUGCCAUACAACUGCAUAUUUCCUGCUCCCAGCAUCAUGCCAGACUCUGAGGCGACAUACUCUCCAUCCAACCCUGCUAAAGGUUUCAAGAGACAUCCUGAAGAGGCUACACCUUGGCAAAGCAGCUCUCCUGUUGGUCUUUAAUAAAUGGGGCUUUCAUCGAGGAGGUAGACUGGAACUGUAUAAACCAAACCCGGGCAACUGUGCAUGAGAGCACAAACAUUUAACACAAGUUCGAUGCCAUUCAGACUUACAAAGCUAAACG